rnacentral:rRNA from 1 species
AGUGAACGUUGGCGGCGUGGAUUAGGCAUGCAAGUCGAGCGAGAACCGUAGCAAUACGGGGACAGCGGCGAAAGGGACAGUAAUGUGUAGGUACCUACCCCGAGGUCUGGGAUAGCUGCGGGAAACUGCAGGUAAUACCGGAUAAUGUCUUCGGACCAAAGGUGUGAUUCCACCUUGGGAGGGGCCUGCAUCCUAUUAGCUUGUUGGCGGGGUAACGGCCCACCAAGGCGACGAUGGGUAGCGGGUGUGAGAGCACGACCCGCGUCAUUGGGACUGAGAUACUGCCCAGACACCUACGGGUGGCUGCAGUCGAGGAUCUUCGGCAAUGGGCGAAAGCCUGACCGAGCGACGCCGCGUGCGGGAUGAAGGCCUUCGGGUUGUAAACCGCUGUCGUAGAGGAGGAAAUGCAGGGGGGUUCUCCCUUCUGUUUGACCUAUUCUAGGAGGAAGGACGGGCUAAGUUCGUGCCAGCCGCCGCCGUAA